GUCCGCGCUGCCGCGCCCGUCGCGCCUGCCCGCGCCGCGCCGCGCCCUCCGACCUCCAUCUGUGUACUCGGUGGCACCGGCGGGGGAAAUGGAUCAUUACUGACAAAACGCCUGUUGUGCCAAUUUCCUGGGCAUAUAGUCCGAUGUAUAAUUAAAAAUUUAACGUUUAACUAAAUUAAUACGACUGAUAUACGAAAAUCGGUAUCUUUUUUAUUAAACAUUUGAACCGUUUUAUUCGUAACAUUUUUCUAAGUAAUAUACGUCAAGGAAUGUUGACAGUAUUGUUUCUAGAAGGUACCAUUUGAGAUUUUCAUAAACUACCAGUUGUUAUUGUCUGUAGUAACAAUAUUGUUAAUGUACCGUUAUGUUAGUGAUUAACUUAAUUCUUUAUACAUUUUUCAUUAUUUAUCUAAAAAAAUUUUGAACAUUAAUUUAUGUAAAAAGGAUUUAACUUGUCUAUGGCCAAUAUUCAAAUAAUGUAAUAUAAAAAUAAUCUAAUAAUUAACGCAUUGAAAUAAAUGCUUCCAGUGAGCUAUAAAAUAAUUUUAAUAAAUGUUAUUGUGGAAAUCAAUUGGCAAUAAAAAGACGUUCCUGACAUACCUAAAAAUUUUUAAAAAUACGCAAAUCAGGAGGUUCUGGUGUAACCUUCAACUGACAUUUAUUUUUGACGUUUUUGUACAUUCACACAUUAAAUAUAAUUUCUAUUUUGGACAUUCAAAAUUUUUCAUGUAAAAAUUUUGGUUAUGUCGUUUAAUUGAGGUAGGGAAUUCCACUUUUCAGUCUGAAAAGUUUUAUAUUUCGACCUCCUAGUAUUUUAAGUGGCGCUCUCUUUUUAUAUUAAUAUUCGGACUCGCUCAAAAUUCCAAAUUUUCACCUGAAUUUAAAAUUUGGUACAAAGACAUACAAAUUAAGAUAUUAAUUAUUUCUAUGUUGUAUACAAAUAUAGUAUGUAGUAACGAACGACCACUUCAGGUUAGUUAUUUAUUUCAUAUUAAGACAGUUUUGCAUUUUUUAGAGAUUGUAAUCAUGUAGGGACG
rnacentral:misc_RNA from 1 species